GUAGGGGGCAAGCGUUAUCCGGAUUUACUGGGUGUAAAGGGAGCGUAGACGGAGCAGCAAGUCUGAUGUGAAAACCCGGGGCUCAACCCCGGGACUGCAUUGGAAACUGUUGAUCUGGAGUGCCGGAGAGGUAAGCGGAAUUCCUAGUGUAGCGGUGAAAUGCGUAGAUAUUAGGAGGAACACCAGUGGCGAAGGCGGCUUACUGGACGGUAACUGAUGUUGAGGCUCGAAAGCGUGGGGAGCAAACAGGAUUAGAUACCCUGGUAGUCCACGCCGUAAACGAUGACUACUAGGUGUCGGGUGGCUAAGCCAUUCGGUGCCGCAGCCAACGCAAUAAGUAGUCCACCUGGGGAGUACGUUCGCAAGUAUGAAACUCAA
rnacentral:rRNA from 1 species